GUGUUGCUGGCAAAUUUGGAUUUUUCCAUCGGGAAUCUAGCGAAGUUUUGUUGCAUGGGUUUCAAAUUUGACCAAAUUCUGAGUAAGACCAGAUUUAUUUAAGUUUAUAAGUAUGUGUUGUGCGUAAUUAUCCUCCUUUCGGUGGUGCUAGCCUCCCCAAGCUGCUGGUGGCGUCCAUCUGGAGCUUAUGACAUCCUCGAACUGUUGUUGGCCACAACAACCUGACGUCCUCAAGUUAUAUGCAUCUGCUAGAUUCCCUCUUCUUUUAAUUCCAAGAAAUCCGAGACCAAACUGGUGACUUGUGGCAUUGUGUGGUAAGAACUAGUUUUAGCUAUUAGCUAUGAAACUGUAGUUGAUUUAAAUUUUGUUGACAUGGUGAUGCAAUUCGGAGCAGGAGUAGGUGUUGUCAUAUUUUGCUGUGCCUAGGCUUGUACAUGAUAAGUGGACUGUACUCUUUUUUGUUCACAAAUAGUGUUAAAAUGAAGUUGUUGACAAGUGAGACUAUUAUUGAACUCCUGAGGUUGUUUGGAGCUACCACUGGACUGCAUACUAACAUUCUCAAAAGCGAAGCUACUCCCAUCCGUUGCAGUGAUUAGCAGCGACAGAUUAUUGCGCAGACCUUGCAUUGCCCACUUAAGAAUUUUCCUAUUGUUUACCUUGGAGUUCCUCUCUCAAUCUGGAAACUGCGAGCAGAAGACUUUGCAGCCCCUCAUUGACAAACUUCAUGAUAAGCUGUCAGGUUGGCGUGCAGUUUUGUUGUCCAAGGGUGAUAAAUUGGUGCUUGUAGUCUGUGCUCUAAGCAGCCCCAAUUCAUACAAUGUGCUAGCGACUGACAUGCCAAAGCUGAUUAAGGAUGAUGUCAUCAGAGAUGUUCAUGAUGGUUGCCGACUAACUCUGGUUGUCCAGAGGGAGUUGAUCUCGAGGAAGACCCUCGGGAAUUCGGCGGUGAAAUUUGAGUUCUAGGCCGAGGUGUCCAAACUCAUGGACAUCAUCAUCAACUCACUCUACUGCAACAAGGACAUCUUCCUUAGGGAGCUCAUAUCCGAUGCAUCUGAUAUUAAGUUGGAUAGCGAGAACAAGAUUCUCUCCAUUGGGGAUAGGGGUGCUGGUAUGACCAAGGAAGUUCUGAUUAAGAAACUAGGAACCACUAUGAAAUCUGGAACUUCAAUCUGGAACUUUAGGUGCUGCUAUUUUCUAGUUAUUGUUGAGCUUUAAGCUUCCAUGCAAAGAUGCAGACUGGAGGUGACCUCAAUCUCAUCGGGCAGUCUGGUGUUUGCUUUUACUCACUAUAAUGGCUUACUAUGUUUAAGUUGGCAGCAAACAAUAUGUAUGGGAGUCCAAAGCUGAUGGAUCAUCCACUAUCUCGGAGGAUACAUGAAAUGAACCCCUCAGCCGUCGAACUGAGACCAAAUUACAUCUCCGCGAUGAGGCUAAGGAGUACCUGGAGGAAGGCAAGCUAAGUGUAUCACCAUAUUAAAAAAAUUAUGUUGUUAUUACGGUUCAACACUUGAUAUGUGCACAGAGGUACUUGUAGACUGGUAUAUGGUGUCUUUACAGCAUCCACAAUGGGCGCUUACACACAGGCCCUAGGGAUUAAUCCCGACAGUUUUGCCCAAUUCCCGCUUAUUUUCCUGGCAUUGGCGCUAUAUUAAGAGCCCGGCGCUUAAAUACUUAGUACGAGAUACAACUUUCAGUCUGCCGGUUCUUGGCCGCACGUGUAACCAACUCAGUGAGCGUCUACUUUAGCGUCAUGGCGUUGUGGACGCUCUUAUAGAAGCGCAGUGGAUCUCAAUCACACUAAAGGCUCUGCUUAACACUGCACUGUGAUGGCUUUUCAAACCAGUUUACCAUGUCUACAUUUUGGAUGUGACUAGCAGAUACUAUUUUGUGAACUGUUUGCUAGAAUUAGUGCAGCUCCAUGUAUAACUAGAUUCUACGGCAUAUUGUAACACAUCACACCUCACGAAAAAACUACGGUUUGAAACAAGCUUUUUUCUGGCUUAGCUUGUGCUGAUGAUGCAGUUCUAUAACCGCAUGGCUUUACCAUGAAUUGCACGCGCUGGUUAGAUUUGAAAAUUAUUUUCAAAGGUAAUUGCAUGGAGAGGAGUUCCUACCAGCAAAUCGGCCAGGUAGAACUAGAAGAGGAGUUCGUACUCCAAACUUGAGUUCAGUACAUGGUAAAUAUUUGUGUUAUAUGCUUAAGUAUGACCUGCUAUAUGCUAGAACUGGUGUGAUCUGGAAUUAAAACUUGCUUGACAUUCUUAAUCUCUUUUGUAAAAUUGCAAGGUAUUUUCUACUUAGAUCACUGGGUAUAUAUUAAGAAAACAUCUAGAAUGCUAUGUUCUUUGCGUUGAUUGCAGCUAUAACGUCAUUACAUUGGCUAUAUACGGUACUUGAACUGGAAAAUGAGUAAUCUACCUAUGUAUGUUGUCCAUAAGUGGUAAAGUUUAUCUCAGGAAAGAGUAGUGACAGUACCAGGGAUUUGGCUUGUUUGAUAUUGUUUGUUUGGUAUAAGUUAUUCACUCAUCGUACAUGAAUUUAUUGCUAACUGUUAAGAAAAGAAUCUGGUUUCCCUUUUUAUCUAGUAAUAUUUUUGAACUGGAAGUUAGAUUGUUGUUUGUUUGAACGCUUUGCUUUCUCUGAUCUAUCAAUUGGCUUGUUUAAAUCGAAAUAUUUUUUUUGAAUCGAAACUUAGUUCCCUGUUUGUUGUGGUGUCCUAUAGACGUCCUGGUUCUACCGUAUCGUGUGGAUGUAAAUCGAAAUCAUCCUCCGAAAAUAUUGUUGCUAAUACUGGUCUGCUGACCAUCAUGUUUUUGUUUUUGUUCCUGGAUAUUGUGGAGGACUAUGCAGGCUUUAAAGGCGUCCGGGCUCCUGUGGUGCGCUGCUGCCAUGCUGGCCACAUGUGGCCCAUGUGUGAUUUAUUAUUGAACUAACAUGUAAUGUUGAGUGGUAUUGGACCUUGUAUCUUCAAUUUGUUUGCAGUGUGCUAAUUAACCUUUCAAGAAGCUCAAGGUUGCACCAGCUGUGGAAGAGAAGCUAUGCUAGUCAUUGUAGAUCUGCAAGCAAGCCUGUGUAUGAAUGCUGGCUUGUUCUUGCACUAGCUGGCACUGCAUGCUCUCAUGUCAGGUUGCAAGGGGGGCGGGACAGCCCGCUAGGCCGCAACGCCGCCCCGCAAAAAAGGCCGAAGCGGUGCCGCUGGGCUGACCGCGUCGCCUCUAGCGGGCCGAAGCAGUCAGGCCGCAUUGACCACCAACAUCCCGCAGUCCCGCAAAUCGCUCUUCCCGUGAAAAAACUGUAUCUCUCGAUGGGGAAACCCCUCCCGGCGGCGGCUCAGCUCCACCGCCCCUGAGAUCUUCCUCCACCGCCCCUGAGAUCUUCCUCCACCUCCCCCGAGAUCUUCCUCCGCCCCACCUGCUCGUACUGAUGUUGGGGUCGACGGCGGUAGUGCAUCCAUCUCAGGACUGCCCGGUCGGGAUGGUCGACGGCGGCGGAGCCUCCAUCUCGGGACUGCCCGGCCAGGAACCUCCACCGCCUCCCUCACGCGCUGAAGAGGAUGGUUCAUCACCAUCAACUGGAGCUGGCCUUUCAUCACCGUCAACUUCGGCAAGGCCAUCCUCGUUGCCCCCUUUUCUGCACUCCAAGAACAAAGGGCAUCUGUCAGCUGGAGAAAUCGCUGCUUCGACCCAAGUCCAAGAUCAACAUGAAAGACCUGCGAAAUCCCUGUCAAUGAAAGUUGUAGCUGCACCUACAAAUGGAAAAUCCCGAGAUCCAAGCCAAGGCCCCCCUAGGAUGUGUUCAAGGCAAGACUACAAGGUCAAGGAUCAACAACUAGGUACAUGGAAAAUCUAAUUAUGUAAGGAGUGAAAAGAGUUCUCCAGUGCAGCAUCAGAGUCCUGAAGGUCUUUUUCCCACUGCACUUGAUACAUCACCCACCACAAACUCUGAAGCUCUUUGCUUUCUUCUAUUGCUUCACAACUAGUCACUAGUUGUACACUAGUCACUAGUCAAUACUGUUGUGCAACUUGGUUUUAUUCUAUAUCACCAUGUUCCUAUAUUUCCCAUCGAUCAGCUAGCAAUGGUUAAGUUAACCAUCUAGAUAAAAUUUCUGUGUGAUUUGGCAUUUAGAAGUAUUUACAUUCCUAAAGAUGUAAAGAUGUAAUGGUUAAGCAUUCAGAGUUAUUAUUAAGCAAUAUUAAGUGUGAUGUAAUAUUAAGCAUUCAGAAUUAUUUAUAUUUAUAAAGAUCAACCAGCGAUCAAUCAGCUA